GCGCUCGGCGGGCGGCGGGACCUACAGGAAGUGUGUAGCGACGCCCGCGGAAGGCGCUCGACCCGCGGCACUCGCUGCCCUACGGGGGCGAGGGCCAGCCUCCCGCCGCGGACACGCGCAGCACUGAGCCCGCCGAGCUCGGCCCCCGCCGCUCCGACAGACUGAUCAGAAUGCCAAGGAAAAAGAGAAGAUUCAAGAGGACCAGGAGGAACCACAUGCUACAGAGCAGCAGCCGCAAACACCAGCAGACCUACAUUUCUACUCUUGUUUAAGGGAACUUGUGGAUUCCUUACCUGCAAAACAAGGGGCAAGAAGCCAAGCAAUAAAGUGGAAAGAAACUGCUACAGAAAAACAUUCUAAAAGGUGUCUUCAGUGUCUCAUGGUGCUUGUGCCGGAUAGUUUUAUGUCGACUUCACACAAGCUGGGGUUGCUACAAGCUGCAGGAAAACAUAUGGAAUUCAGCUACUAUCGCAGAAGCUAGUGCUUGGAAAAGUCAAGGA